rnacentral:rRNA from 1 species
AUGCACGCUGGCGGCGUGCCUAAUACAUGCCAGUCGCGCGAACAGACGAGGAGCUUGCUCCUCUGACGUUAGCGGCGGCCGGGUGAGUAACACGUGGAUAACCUACCUAUAAGACUGGGAUAACUUCGGGAAACCGGAGCUAAUACCGGAUAAUAUAUUGAACCGCAUGGUUCAAUAGUGAAAGACGGUUUUGCUGUCACUUAUAGAUGGAUCCGCGCCGCAUUAGCUAGUUGGUAAGGUAACGGCUUACCAAGGCAACGAUGCGUAGCCGACCUGAGAGGGUGAUCGGCCACACUGGAACUGAGCCACGGUCCAGACUCCUACGGGAGGCAGCAGUAGGGAAUCUUCCGCAAUGGGCGAAAGCCUGACGGAGCAACGCCGCGUGAGUGAUGAAGGUCUUCGGAUCGUAAAACUCUGUUAUUAGGGAAGAACAAAUGUGUAAGUAACUAUGCACGUCUUGACGGUACCUAAUCAGAAAGCCACGGCUAACUACGUG